rnacentral:rRNA from 1 species
CUCAGUUCGGAUCGGAGUCUGCAACCCGACUCCGUGAAGCUGGAUUCGCUAGUAAUCGCGCAUCAGCCAUGGCGCGGUGAAUACGUUCCCGGGCCUUGUACACACCGCCCGUCAAGCCAUGGAAGCCGGGGGCGCUUGAAGUGCGUUGCCGCAAGGCGCGCCCUAGAGCGAAACCGGCGACUGGGGCUAAGUCGUAACAAGGUAAC